rnacentral:rRNA from 1 species
AAGCGGUGGAUGAUGUGGUUUAAUUCGAUGCAACGCGUAAAACCUUACCCAUCUUGACAUGUACGGAAGUUGCCAGAGAUGGCUUCGUGCUCGAAAGAGAGCCGUAACACAGGUGCUGCAUGGCUGUCGUCAGCUCGUGUCGUGAGAUGUUGGGUUAAGUCCCGCAACGAGCGCAACCCUUGUCAUUAGUUGCUACAUUCAGUUGGGCACUCUAAUGAGACUGCCGGUGACAAGCCGGAGGAAGUGGGGAUGACGUCAAGUCCUCAUGGCCCUUAUAGGUGGGGCUACACACGUCAUACAAUGGCUGGUACAAAGGGUUGCCAACCCGCGAGGGGGAGCUAAUCCCAUAAAGCCAGUCGUAGUCCGGAUCGUAGUCUGCAACUCGACUACGUGAAGUCGGAAUCGCUAGUAAUCGUGGAUCAGAAUGUCACGGUGAAUACGUUCCCGGGUCUU